rnacentral:rRNA from 1 species
UACGGAGGGGGCUAGCGUUGUUCGGAAUUACUGGGCGUAAAGCGCGCGUAGGCGGCUUUGUAAGUUAGAGGUGAAAGCCCGGAGCUCAACUCCGGAACUGCCUUUAAGACUGCAUCGCUAGAAUUGUGGAGAGGUAAGUGGAAUUCCGAGUGUAGAGGUGAAAUUCGUAGAGAUCGGCAGGAACACCCAGGGGGAAACCAGCCGACUGGGCAUCUGCUGACGCUGAGGUGCGAGAGCGUGGGGAGCGAACCGG